UCCAAGCAGAGUUCCACAGCCUGGCUCUGCAGUGUUCCAACCAGCCUGGCUGCAGAUGAGGUAGAGCUCAGGACUCCACUGCAUCUGAGCUUCAGGGUCAGGCUUGCCUUUCUGCCCACAACAGGUAUUUUAUAUCCAUGUUCAGAGAGUUUUAGAAUGGCUGGAUGCUUUUAAUUCUGGCCCAGAUAGCUCCUUAUCUUGCUGAAGGAUCUUUGCUUCUGUAACAGCCCAACCCAGAAGGUAUGUUACCACCAACAGCAGCCAUGUGAUGUUCCCUGCCCCUGUCCAAUGAGAGGAGCAAAAGCAGGACUUGUCUUCAUGUCAAUCCUCAAUACUUAGAGAUGGGUAAAGCCCUGGAAGUACAGCCUGGGUGUCUAACUAGGAUGUGGCACAAAGAGCUGCCCUUGCCUCUGCGUUUGGGCUGUGGUGGUUCUGCAGGAACGCAUGGAUGCCAGCAGGACUAGCUGCCAUGCCUUCCCUGGAGUCUGGGGCUCCUACCCUGGCAGUGGAGGCUGCAAUUCCAUGGUCCUCCAUUCCAGUGCAGUCUUGAGCAGUGGGAGGGCCUCCUACAAGGGACAUGCUUGGCAGAGCUGUGUCCAGCUGAAGAACACACCUUUCACCUGAUCCUCUAGAGACCACUUUCUUUAUGCAAGGCUUGCUGAGUCAGCAGGAAAAGCCAUUUAUGGCUAAAUAGGUGCUGUGCUGGGCUUUCAAGGGCAAUGACUGCGCCAUGAGUCCCCAGCACUACUCCUGUUAAGGUGCCAUGGUGGCAGAUGUGGUUGUUAACUCAUCCUGACUGGUCUCAACCAAGUGGAAACAUUCACAGCCCCUUCCUGGAGUUCACACACAAGAUGAAGCUGGGAAGAGUCACUCUCCUGAUGGAGAAAGUACAACUAAAAAUAAACAUUGAAGCAG